GCAUCAAUGGGGUAGUGGUAACCUGGGUCGUUGCCAUCAUGAUUCUCAAAUCUAGUUUCGACCCGCCGGGGGUUCAAUUCCCCCUUGAUGCA